rnacentral:tRNA from 1 species
AAGAUACUAGUAUAGCACUCAAUACACUGCUUUGUCAAGGCAGAAUCGCGGGCGGAACUCCCGCGUAUCUUA